rnacentral:rRNA from 1 species
UAGUCCACGCCGUAAACGAUGUUCACUCGCUGUUUGGGAUACACACUAAGCGGCCAAGCGAAAGCAUUAAGUGAACCACCUGGGGAGUACGUUGGCAACAAUGAAACUCAAAGGAAUUGACGGGGACCCGCACAAGCGGUGGAACAUGUGGUUUAAUUCGAUGAUACGCGAGGAACCUUACCUGGACUUAAAUGUGGUCUGACAGCUUUAGAGAUAGAGUUUUCUUCGGACAGAUUACAAGGUGCUGCAUGGUUGUCGUCAGCUCGUGCCGUGAGGUGUCAGGUUAAGUCCUAUAACGAGCGCAACCCCUGUUGUUAGUUGCCAGCGAGUAAUGUCGGGAACUCUAGCAAGACUGCCGGUGCAAACCGCGAGGAAGGUGGGGAUGACGUCAAAUCAUCACGGCCCUUACGUCCUGGGCCACGCACGUGCUACAAUGGUAGGUACAGAGAGCAGCCACGUCGCGAGGCGGAGCGAAUCUAUAAAACCUAUCUCAGUUCGGAUAGGACUC